rnacentral:rRNA from 1 species
UACGUAGGGGCCUAGCGUUGUCCGGAUUUAUUGGGCGUAAAGAGCUCGUAGGCGGUUUGGUAAGUCGGGUGUGAAAUCUCCACGCUCAACGUGGAGGGGCCACCCGAUACUGCCAUGACUGGAGUCCGGUAGGGGAGUGUGGAAUUCCCGGUGUAGCGGUGAAAUGCGCAGAUAUCGGGAGGAACACCAGGAGCGAAGGCGACACUCUGGGCCGGAACUGACGCUGAGGAGCGAAAGCGUGGGGAGCAAACAGG